rnacentral:rRNA from 1 species
UACGUAGGGUGCAAGCGUUGUCCGGAAUUAUUGGGCGUAAAGAGCGCGCAGGCGGUCUAUCAAGUCAGAUGUGAAAUAUCCAGGCUUAACCUGGAGGGGUCAUUUGAAACUGGUAGACUAGAGUACAGCAGAGGAUAGCGGAAUUCCCGGUGUAGUGGUGAAAUGCGCAGAUAUCGGGAGGAACACCAGUGGCGAAGGCGGCUAUCUGGGCUGACACUGACGCUGAGGCGCGAAGGCUAGGGGAGCAAACAGG